GGGGGCGUACUGGUUUCGACGGGGGUAGUCGAUACAGGAGUAGCGAGCCGAGGGCCAGGGCCUCGUAAAAAACUGGGACUUUAAAAUAAACGCUAACGAUAAUUUAGCUUACGCUGCUUAAUUAAGCAGCCGUCUUAUCUCUGGUUUGUCUGCAACUAGGGAAUAAGGCGUCAAAUCUGCAGACUACCUAUCAAUAGUGCCUCGGGUUGAUAGGGAAAUUAAGGGGCUAGCACUUUUGAGACUUUGUCUCUAGAGGCUCAAAGGUGCGAAAUUUAAAGUAGAGACUGCGCUCGGAGAGACUGCUGUUGAGAUACCUUCGGACAGGGGUUCGACUCCCCUCGCCUCCACCA
rnacentral:tmRNA from 1 species